GUGGACGUAGCUCAAUCGGAAGAGCGACGGUCUCCAAAGCCGUGCGUUGGGGGUUCGAAUCCCUCCGUCCGCG
rnacentral:tRNA from 1 species